UUUUUGUUUUAAAUAGAAAAAGAAAUUAUUGUUUGUGAAUUGGGCUUCACACACAAAAGCCAUUCACUUCAGAGGGGGAUGUAUCUUGACUAUUCCAUAGGAGUAGUGUACUGAAUAUUAACACAUCUGCUUGUCAGAGUAAUCAUACUACCUUGAACAGUUACUUCUUUUCAGGAUGGUUGGGGUUGCUGGAGGUUAAAGGUGUGUUAUUAUAUUCCACUCUGUGGGUUGAUAAAUUGGAUUUUUGAAAACAAGUGUCUGUUCCUCUUCUUUAAUAAAUGUUAAAACCAAUAUACAUUUUAAAAUUCUCUCUGUCUUUCUAACAUACUAAGGAACAUGGAGGAUGUUUCCUAUUAUCUUUAAAGAAGGAUGUUCAAAGGAGGUAUAGGUUUAAAAUAUAUAAUUCUGAAUAUACAAUGUACUUUCAGUAAAGGCUGGGCAAGGGUCAUAAAACUAUAAAAAACAUAUCCUGCCCCUUUGGACUAUAACAGCUAAUCAUUAGCCAUCCAUUCAUAAUGUUUACCUUUUAGUGUGUUAUUUUCACAUUUUUCUUCAUGGGGACUAACCAUUAGUACCCCCCUAAGACUAACAAAACUACAUUCACUGCCUGCUGGCAAAUGAUUUCCGGCCCCAAAGCAUUUGUUGGUAGAAAAAGUGUAACACAGUGGAGCACAGUCAAAUGGAAGAUGGUCUUCCCCACAGUUGGAGUCUGUCUAGCCAAUGCAUCCAGCCUCAUUUCUCAAGCCACAUGUAAUAUUCUGAUUAUCAAUCUGCUUGGUUAUACCCUAAGAAUGUGAUACUGCAUGAAAAUAUUACUGUGAUGAAUGGACAUCCAAUGAGAAGCUAAAGGACUUAACAUUUUGAGAUUCAACUGAUAGCCUUUUAUUGCUAGAGCUUGCAUUGAUAGACAUGAGGAGGCUUCACAGUUUUGAAACAAAUGAAAUUCACGAAGUCCAAAUAAAUCAAGAAAGAGCCUUGAGCUUCAUUAUUGUCCCUUCAACAUCUCAGAAAGUUUUCUUGGUGAAGUGCUAGAGCUUUGACUGAAUAUUAGGAAUUUCAACACGGAAUACACAGUACAUGUUUUCUUCUGCUAGCCUGACAGCCUUGAUCUGAACUACCAAGUAUUUAUCAGGGGCAGUGAAGGGUCAGUACAUAGCAUCAAGCACAGCAUUGCUAUCUGGAAAGCCAAUUUUGAUCCAAGUCCAAGUUCCUAGUGGGAUAAAUAGGCCUUUCAACAAGACCUAAGUCAGAGAUGACUAUGAGAUCCUCCAUUUCUAAUAAUAUUCUGGCAGAUUAGAAAGAAUACACAGAUGAGAAUUUCCUCGCUUUUACCAAAAAGCCAGAUAUAUAAAACUAUUCCAAAGAAACAGGUCACAGUUGCUGCUCAUCAAGCAUUUUUGCAAGUUGGCUCACAGAUAAAACAAGUUCUCCAGAGCCGUUUUCCCUAAUCCCAGGACACUUUACUUACCUCUGCAUGCACGCAGAAAGCCGAACUCUGCUUUACUACAUUGUAACCUCCUGAGGACAAGGACUGGAUUUGUCCCACAGCAAACAUAAUGCUUUAACUUUAUUAAGCAGUCAGUAUGUAAAAUAGUGACUCUACUUCAAAAUAAAAGAUUGGGCUAAACAUUGAA